rnacentral:misc_RNA from 1 species
UACGAAGGGGGCUAGCGUUGCUCGGAAUGACUGGGCGUAAAGGGCGCGUAGGCGGAUAUGACAGUCAGAUGUGAAAUUCCUGGGCUUAACCUGGGGGCUGCAUUUGAUACGUUGUAUCUAGAGUGAGGAAGAGGGUCGUGGAAUUCCCAGUGUAGAGGUGAAAUUCGUAGAUAUUGGGAAGAACACCGGUGGCGAAGGCGGCGACCUGGUCCUUAACUGACGCUGAGGCGCGAAAGCGUGGGGAGCAAACAGG